GUGGGAGAACAUCUCCUGGCAUGUGCAACAUGGGAAUGCGAUGGGGGAAACAUUGGUUUCUGCAGCUGGUACCUGAGGGAGCCCUCGCUUAUGCCCUGAUCUCUGAAAAACUGCUGGCCAAAGGAAGGAGGAAGAAAUGUACUCUGAUGCCACAGCAAGAGUGAGAAGAAAACAGCUUCUGGUGUUUCUUGCUCUCCACUGUUGAUAUUACUCCCAGCGUGAGCAACUCAACAAAGCUCAUGGCUCUGCAGGGUGUUUCCAUUCUUCGGAAAGCUCAUAGCUCUGCAGGGUGUUUCCAUUCUUCGGAAAGCAGUGACAAGCCAUUGUGUCUUUGAUAGAUCCCUGUUUUAUCUGCUAAAAACUCAGAUCCCUGGACUCUGUAAGACUUGGGAGAUCACCUUCUACUCAACACAGCCAUCACUGAGAAGAUCUCCUACCUUUGGCACUUCUUUCACUGUCAAGGUCCCAGCACCUUUCUAAGCACUGCUGAAGACAUGCUCUGCUGACUCCACUCGUGGUUUCUGUGGGCUUCCCACUUUCCUCUCCUGGGCACACAAAAUGCCUCACACUGUCCCCUGAGCAUGACCUCCAUUUGGGAAAAUUACCACUGUUAUUUCUGCUCAUUGACUGUCACGAGGCCUUACCCUCUCCUCAAAGCUCCUGGAAAAAAACAUCCUAUGCUCCUCAUUUUCAACAGAAAUAUUUAUAUUAUGAGUUCUUUAUAUUAGGAGUUCAUGCCUCAGAGGCUCAUUUACAGUCCUGUUGUAACUGCACAGUGGUAACCUGCGUGUACAUAACAGCAUGAUGGACUGUAAUGUGCUACGCUUAGCAAGUGCAGCAGUUCACUCACUCUCCUUGAAGAACAAACAAACAACAGCCUCUGCACAGAACAGGCUUGGAGAGACACAGAGUGCCGACUCCUUCAUCCUUUGGGGCGAGGGGAGGGAACAAGUGAUAAAAGGAUUUACCUGUCCCGGUUCAGCUGGCUGAUGUGCCGUAUCCUCAGAAGAAGCCUCCUGCCAGGCAGAGUCCUACCUACAUCAAAGGCUGACAGGAUGAGUCACCGGGUGCUAGGCCCUUCACAGGCACAUUUCCACCCUGUCAGCAAGAUCAGGUUCUCGUUAGCAUUCCCAGGUUCACUAACAGCCUCAGGCGUGUGUCACCACAUCAUCUCUUCAGGAACAAAUGACUCGGUGUGGGGGUUCAACGUGGCACACUGGAAGGCUCAGAGGCAGGCCUGAGCCUGGGGGCUCUGACUCACCAGCAGGACGGGGUGGUGGGCCUUGCAGCAAGAUGGUUGCUCUGAGAGCCCGUGUUCCCCUGUGCAGACAUCUCAGGUGGUGCUGAGAUGGGUCCUGGGCAGCCACAGCCUUCACGCCAAAGCGUGAGAGAGAAAUGGAUGUAGAAUGUGAAUUGAGUGGGAGCCUCCUUAGCGGUGGGCUGCAGGGGUGGGUGGCAGAGGGAACCAGGUGUCCUGAGGACACUGUUGUGUACUCAGAUGAACACAGAUGUACUGUUCAAGCCACACACAUACCUCUCCUUCACUGGAAUUUGUAUUAGGAUGAAAACUGGCUGUCAGACAGGCAGGUUGGGGUGAAAAGGCCCUCAAAACCAGAGACCCAGCCUUCAGCCUUAAGACUAUCCACUGAAAUAAUUCUAUUUUUCUCUCCAUUAUUGUUUAUCUCCACUAUUAACAUUCUGCCUGUACCUCUAUUAGCAUAUGAACUGGCCCCAUCCCUUCUUUUAAAUCUCUCUGCAGAAACAAAAGAAAUACUCAUGCUCUCGGUAAAUACGGCAGUGCAGGUGCUCCUUACAGAUAAGGUAAAAAAGCGACUUCAAACAUUAGUAAUAACUUAUGAAGGCCACAGCUGAAUUUUUAGUAGCUGAGUACCAGAAACAACUCCUGAGAUACGAGUACAUAUUUCAUAUUUGUCUCUAUUCCAGCACAAAAAUUCAGGUUUGGAGAGAGGUAAAAUUAAGGCAUUUCUCUGUUGUAAGAACAGACAGCACUGAGGUUAUGUUCAGGUCUAUCAGACACAAGCAUCUGGUUUGCUUCACAUUAUGAGAUCAAACAAUACCAACAGCGAUGCCCGUUCUGGGGUAAGCAGCUCAAUUCCUGCAACAGUAAGAGGCCACUAGAGAAGCAGACUAAUUUCCGAGAAGAUAUAAAAAUGAUUGCUCAGAAUCACUUCAUACCUCGCCUGAGGUAAUGAACUGUGGCGGGGAAUGGAUGCACCACAGCUGCCAGCCAAAUUCCACGCAUCCAGCAGCACCAACACACUGCUCCUCCAUCCCACCUCCUCCCUGCAAACAAGACACAUUGCUCCGCCCUCCAUUCCACCUGCAGCCCUUUGCUAUUUGCUGUGAGCAGGGUUUAUUUCCAUACUGGCAGUGGUUGCUGCAAGAGGGGAAAGAGUCGUGGAAUCACAGAAUCGCAGAACGGCUUGGGUUGGAAGGGACCCUAAAGCCCACCCUGUUCAAGCCCCUGGCAUGGGCAGGGCUGCCACCUACAAGUUCAGGAUGCCUAGGGCCCCAUCCACCCUGGCCUUGAGCACCUCCAGGGAUGGGGCAAUGUCCUACCUACAUCAAAAACUGACAGGAUGACAAACCUGGCACUGUACAGCCUCCCACACAUUGUUGACCCUGUCCCCUCUCAGCCAUGCCCUUCCUCCAGAACAAGCAAGGGCCUCCAAGCUUUUUGGCGUCAAUGCACCACAGUCCACAUGCAGAGCUGGUGGCUGAUACAGUCCUUCCUCGCAGGCUGGGACCCAGGCAGAGGCCAGGUUUUCAAAAAAGAUGCUGCUGUAGAAAGCUGGCUCUGCUCCUGGAUCUCAGACUUCCACAUCCCUGCUUCCCAGGUCAGAGGCUGACAUGCUUCUCAGGUGGUUUGGAAGAUACAAAAGCUUUAUGCAAAGAAAUGCCUACCCUAGGGCAUCUGGGAAAGCUAUCCCUUGAAUGACUGCAGCACUGUGCCCCUACACAGUCCCUAAAGACAGGUGAUCGGGAAUUUUUAAGACUAAUCAGCUACAUUCCUUUUCUCUGUGAUAUAUUUUUAAGAGUGAUAAGAGAUCAAUAAAAACAUGUCAUUUAGGGGUCCAUAAAGCACACAUAAAGUAGCUCCAUAUACCAUGCUUUAAUAAAGCAAGACACCCCAGUCGGUUGCCAUGAAGGCAGAUGUAUACACCUGUGUCUCUGAUUUGGUUCAUGUUAGG
ensembl:lncRNA